UUGGUGCUUGCAUCAUGAUUUACAUUUGAGUGAGUGGCGAACUGGUGAGUAACACGUGGGAAACCUGCCCAGAAGCGGGGGAUAACACCUGGAAACAGAUGCUAAUACCGCAUAACAACUUGGACCGCAUGGUCCGAGUUUGAAAGAUGGCUUCGGCUAUCACUUUUGGAUGGUCCCGCGGCGUAUUAGCUAGAUGGUGAGGUAACGGCUCACCAUGGCAAUGAUACGUAGCCGACCUGAGAGGGUAAUCGGCCACAUUGGGACUGAGACACGGCCCAAACUCCUACGGGAGGCAGCAGUAGGGAAUCUUCCACAAUGGACGAAAGUCUGAUGGAGCAACGCCGCGUGAGUGAAGAAGGGUUUCGGCUCGUAAAACUCUGUUGUUAAAGAAGAACAUAUCUGAGAGUAACUGUUCAGGUAUUGACGGUAUUUAACCAGAAAGCCACGGCUAACUACGUGCCAGCAGCCGCGGUAAUACGUAGGUGGCAAGCGUUGUCCGGAUUUAUUGGGCGUAAAGCGAGCGCAGGCGGUUUUUUAAGUCUGAUGUGAAAGCCUUCGGCUCAACCGAAGAAGUGCAUCGGAAACUGGGAAACUUGAGUGCAGAAGAGGACAGUGGAACUCCAUGUGUAGCGGUGAAAUGCGUAGAUAUAUGGAAGAACACCAGUGGCGAAGGCGGCUGUCUGGUCUGUAACUGACGCUGAGGCUCGAAAGUAUGGGUAGCAAACAGGAUUAGAUACCCUGGUAGUCCAUACCGUAAACGAUGAAUGCUAAGUGUUGGAAGGGUUUCCGCCCUUCAGUGCUGCAGCUAACGCAUUAAGCAUUCCGCCUGGGGGAGUACGGCCGCAAGGCUGAAACUCAAAGGAAUUGACGGGGGCCCGCACAAGCGGUGGAGCAUGUGGUUUAAUUCGAAGCUACGCGAAGAACCUUACCAGGUCUUGACAUACUAUGCAAAUCUAAGAGAUUAGACGUUCCCUUCGGGGACAUGGAUACAGGUGGGUGCAUGGUUGUCGUCAGCUCGUGUCGUGAGAUGUUUGGGUUAAGUCCCGCAACGAGCGCAACCCUUAUUAUCAGUUGCCAGCAUUAAGUUGGGCACUCUGGU
rnacentral:rRNA from 1 species